rnacentral:rRNA from 1 species
ACUCCUACGGGAGGCAGCAGUGGGGAAUAUUGCACAAUGGGCGCAAGCCUGAUGCAGCCAUGCCGCGUGUGUGAAGAAGGCCUUCGGGUUGUAAAGCACUUUCAGUCGUGAGGAAGGCGGGUACGUUAAUAGCGUAUUCGUUUGACGUUAGCGACAGAAGAAGCACCGGCUAACUCCGUGCCAGCAGCCGCGGUAAUACGGAGGGUGCGAGCGUUAAUCGGAAUUACUGGGCGUAAAGCGCAUGCAGGUGGUUUGUUAAGUCAGAUGUGAAAGCCCGGGGCUCAACCUCGGAAUAGCAUUUGAAACUGGCAGACUAGAGUACUGUAGAGGGGGUUAGAAUUUCAGGUGUAGCGGUGAAAUGCGUAGAGAUCUGAAGGAAUACCGGUGGCGAAGGCGGCCCCUGGACAGAUACUGACACUCAGAUGCGAAAGCGUGGGAGCAAACGAGGAUUAGAUACCCCGUGGUAGGACAGUG